GAUGAACGCUGGCGGCGUGCCUAAUACAUGCAAGUCGAGCGAACGGACGAGAAGCUUGCUUCUCUGAUGUUAGCGGCGGACGGGUGAGUAACACGUGGAUAACCUACCUAUAAGACUGGGAUAACUUCGGGAAACCGGAGCUAAUACCGGAUGAUAUUUUGAACCGCAUGGUUCAAAAGUGAAAGACGGUCUUGCUGUCACUUAUAGAUGGAUCCGCGCUGCAUUAGCUAGUUGGUAAGGUAACGGCUUACCAAGGCAACGAUGCAUAGCCGACCGGAGAGGGUGAUCGGCCACACUGGAACUGAGACACGGUCCAGACUCCUACGGGAGGCAGCAGUAGGGAAUCUUCCGCAAAGGGCGAAAGCCUGACGGAGCAACGCCGCGUGAGUGAUGAAGGUCUUCGGAUCGUAAAACUCUGUUAUUAGGGAAGAACAUAUGUGUAAGUAACUGUGCACAUCUUGACGGUACCUAAUCAGAAAGCCACGGCUAACUACGUG
rnacentral:rRNA from 1 species